rnacentral:rRNA from 1 species
AUCGCCUACGGGGGGCAGCAGUGAGGAAUAUUGGUCAAUGGCCGGGAGGCUGAACCAGCCAAGUCGCGUGAGGGAAGACGGCCCUACGGGUUGUAAACCUCUUUUGUCAGGGAGCAAGAGGCGGGUCGAGACCUGCUGUGAGAGUACCUGAAGAAAAAGCAUCGGCUAACUCCGUGCCAGCAGCCGCGGUAAUACGGAGGAUGCGAGCGUUAUCCGGAUUUAUUGGGUUUAAAAGGUGCGCAGGCGGAGGCACAAGUCAGCGGUAAAAUCGCGGGGCUCCACCCCGCUCCGCCGUUGAAACUGUG